AGCACAGCCUGCAGCUGGAUGUGCCACUGAUGGACCUGCCCUGCAUGAAUUUAUGAAGAUUUUUUUUAAUCCAGUUCUAUUUUUGGCCACCACCACAUCCCAUGGCAAUGAGUUCCACAGGAAUUACUUCAGGGCUUGUCUCUGGCCUGUGCCACACAGGAGAUCUGAACAGAUGAUCACAGCGGUCCCUUCUGGUCUAGGAAUGGAUGGAUCUAUGGCUCAUGGCAGUGGACGAGAAGAAGCCUACGUAAUGGGUUGCUGCACCAUCUGCUUUUCAGCAGAAAUACAUCCUCCAGAUCCUGCUCCUACAUUUGCAUCAGACCAUGACUUGCAGUGUAUAUUCACCCUCCUGCCUGUGGUUAGAAAUGUGUUGAUGAUGAGAAAGUCAGUUGAUGCUGCAGGCUGAUACUACAGCAAGGCUGGGCAAUAAUUUUCUCAAGGGGGCCACUUAAUUAAUUUUGGUGGGUAAUUAUGGGCUGGCUCCCAGAAGGGGCGGGGCCUGGGGCAGAAGGGGCGGGGCUGGGGACUAGCCUCACCACAGAGUUGUCUGGGGCCAAAGGUUUUGAAGUAAAAACACUGCAAAGGGCUCGCAGCUCCUGGCCCUGCCACUACCAUGUUGCCUGGCAGCCAUUUGGUUUUGCUGUGUCUAUUUAAAAGGCUAGCAGCUCUGGCCCCUGCCAGGGUAGUGCCACAACUAUGAGCUGGGAGCCAUUUAAAUAGGAUCCUGCUGCCUGAGCCACUGCCUGGAAAUUGGUGGCACAGUCAGCAGGAUACAAAUAGAAAGUGGCCCUGCACUGCAGUGUCCUGGGCCUAUGAAUUAAUUAAUGCACUGCCCUCAUGUACCCUGUGCUUUGCAAAUUCAAGUAUUUGAAAAUUCCAUCCGUAGUUCAAAGAAGUAAGAUGAUAAUAGGCUUGAACUUCAUACCAACUAGCUUCCCAGCUGCAGUUUUGUCCGUGCUCCCCUCUGCAUUUUGCUCCCUAUGGAAAAUUAGAGAAAUAUGAUGUGAGUGAGUGUGGAAAGUCACCUGUACUUACUGUGUUAAAACAAGAGAGUUCUGGGCUAACAUCACAUCCACCCACCUGAUGUUCAGGCUUAGCAAAUGUGAUUAUGUCUCUGUCUCCUGGCUGGUAACAGCAAUUACAGUAGCUCGUUAGUGAUGGUUUUUCCUCUAGCUUAAAUGGAGAGGAGUACUCCACCGGCACUACAAGGUGUAUAUCCAUGUGUCUACAGUAGGUCACACAAACAUCUCUGAUUUUUGGUGGAGGAUGGCUCUGGAAUCCAAACCCAAGCCUGGACCUCAGUUUUACAAACAGCUCAUAUCUAUUUCACAUCUCAAAGCAAGAGUCUAGACUCAAACAAAUCCAGAAUUUAGGAUGAUCCAGAUCUGAAUUUUGAGGUCUGGGCCUAUUUAUCUUUUAAAUCUUCAGUGGAAGAUUUAAAAUUGUGAAAAAAAAUCUCAGGAAGUGACUCCACUUCCUUUGUUGUCUCCUACUGAAUUUCAGAGUCAUCCCUUGUACCAGCUGGACCAUGACACAGCAUGCAGGGCUUCCUUCUCCCCGAAUUACCAGUGGGACUGAAAGUGCCUGGCACAGGCAGUUUUUAGGCUCAUCUAUCAUCUGGAAACCCUAGAAAUUUUGCUUUACAAAGAAUGUCAACCUCAUAACCCCCACUAUAUUGAUGGGGAAACUGAGGCACAGAGAAGGAAAAUUUCUCACCCAUGAUCACCCAGCAGCAGAAUAAAGAACAGACCCUCUGGCUAUGUCUACAUUGCAACUUGCAGGCAGAGGGUAUGCUAAUGAAGUGCUCAUUAGCAUUUGUUGUGCUGUCAUUUGAAUAUAUAUCUCUGCCGAUGAUUUUUGUGCAAGAGAUUUUUGGGCAAAAACAAGCAGUGUAGAUGGUCUGUUUUGCACAAAAAAUCCUUUUGUGCAAGAUCCUGUAUACCUACUUUUUUGAGGCAUCUUGCACAAAAGGUUUUUUUUUUUUACAAAAUGGACCCAUAUAUACUGCUUGUUUUGCCAAAAAAUCCUCUUGUGC